rnacentral:lncRNA from 1 species
AAAAUAUCAACUCUCAAAAAUAUUUCUACUUGUGUACAAAUAAUACAUAGUUCCAAAAGCAAAAUAUCUACACUACUUUUGCCUUCUUUCACAAGGUAACAAUUAGCUUAUUCAAAUAUCUCACUGCAAGAGUAAUUUGUAUAUAUAUAUACUAGAUCAGUGUUUUAUUAUUGCUGCAUGCUCUCCCUGAAGUUCAUAGAUCUAGACAUCGCUGCAGGGUUUUCUUGUAGAUUGAUAGACGUUUCAGGGACCAAGCUUCUUCUGUUGCUACCCUUUGUUUCAAAUCUAUUGAACAAACUUAAUCCUCCUUCCGUAUUCUUCUCAGGCUUUGUUGGUAACUCAGGGUACACCACGUUCUUAGUAGCUUCACUAGUUCUAAGAGUAGUAUUUUUGGUUUCUACUUCAGUUUGAUCCCUUGCUCGUUUCCCUAAACAUGGUGAAGUCUCUGAGAUAGGCCAUAUAGGAACCGUGCAGCCCCAAUAGAAAGGGAUAGGGUAGAAACUAGUAUUAGGACCCGUUGGACUCCAUUGGUAAGGCCAAGGAGAAGUAUUAUUAGGUAACAUUACUUGGGAAGCAAGAAACUCUUGGUGGGUUUUGUUUUCUUGAUGCUUAACAGUCUCUGUAACCGAAGACUCUGAAGAACCAAAACUGAGGAUCGUUCCCGAGUUAUUGUUGUUCUCAUAAUCCUCAGACGUGACCUUCAAGUAAUGGUUUGAACAAGGCCACCCUUUGUUCUUGCGGCGGCCUGAUCCAACGGGGACGUUUCUCAUGGAUCCACCAGCUGUCCAGUACCUCUGACAGUUCCUGCAGAAGUGACGCGGCUGGCUCACGUUGUAGUUGUUGUAGUAACAGAACUUGGUGUUUGCGCUUUCGCAUCUCGGACACGGAAGAAGCUUGUCCGGUUUCUUGAGAGUAGUUGGUUUAUCUUCUGAUGUACUUGUUGUUGUUGUUGUGAUCUCGCUCUGUUGAUCCCCGUUGGUCUUUGAGCUUGUUGGUGAUGAAAUCUCAAAAGCUGCUCUUGGCGGUUCGUUAAGAUCGGAUAAUAUGCAAGGACCUUUGAAUCUGCUAUUGCCGUGCUCAUGGUUAUUAGCCAGAACCUAAAAUUUUAGCACAACUUUAUUAUAACUAGCCACAGCUUUGUCUUAACGGAUAUAUAUUAUUACUACAAAACAGAGGAGUUUGAAAAAAAAAAAGAAAAAAAAAGGAGUUUGAACAAAAAGGACUUUGAGAUUUGCGUGACAGCAUACCAUGUUUGGUCCGGUCGAAGGACAACAAGAGGAUGAGGAAGAUGAAGAAGGCUCCUUGCUCUGAUAGGACACACCGUGAAUAGAAGAUAACGACGACGGAUCAUGAUGAUCCACAGCUAAAAGAGAUGUAAUUGUCGUCCCAAACAAUUUUAUCUCCGUAUCUUUAGAUUUCGACAUACUAAUUUUCCAACUUAACAAUUAAACCAAUUCCUCUAAAAAUUAUUGUUUACUCGUUUUUUUAUUAGAUCAGAGAAAAAGGAGAGAAUACAAGGGGCUGAGCUUGGUUGGUAUGAAUGACGAUAGUGCAUAGAAGAGAGAGAGAGAGAGGGGGAGAGUCAGAGAGAGACUUGUUAAGUUUUAAGAGCCAC